UACGUAGGGUGCGAGCGUUGUCCGGAAUUAUUGGGCGUAAAGGGCUCGUAGGCGGUUUGUCGCGUCGGGAGUGAAAUCACCGGGCUUAACUCGGUGCUUGCUUUCGAUACGGGCAGACUAGAGGCAUGCAGGGGAGAACGGAAUUCCUGGUGUAGCGGUGAAAUGCGCAGAUAUCAGGAGGAACACCGGUGGCGAAGGCGGGUCUCUGGGCCGAUACUGACGCUGAGGAGCGAAAGCGUGGGGAGCGAACAGG
rnacentral:rRNA from 1 species